CGGCGAGUGAAGCGGCAAAGCUCAAUUUGAAAUCUGGCACCUUUGGUGUCCGAGUUGUAAUUUGAAGAUUGUAACCUUGGGGUUGGCUCUUGUCUAUGUUUCUUGGAACAGGACGUCACAGAGGGUGAGAAUCCCGUGCGAUGAGAUGCCCAAUCCUAUGUAAGGUGCUUUCGAAGAGUCGAGUUGUUUGGGAAUGCAGCUCUAAGUGGGUGGUAAAUUCCAUCUAAAGCUAAAUAUUGGCGAGAGACCGAUAGCGAACAAGUACAGUGAUGGAAAGAUGAAAAGAACUUUGAAAAGAGAGUGAAAAAGUACGUGAAAUUGUUGAAAGGGAAGGGUUUGAGAUCAGACUCGAUAUUUUGUGAGCCUUGCCUUCGUGGCGGGGUGACCCGCAGCUUAUCGGGCCAGCAUCGGUUUGGGCGGUAGGAUAAUGGCGUAGGAAUGUGACUUUGCUUCGGUGAAGUGUUAUAGCCUGCGUUGAUGCUGCCUGCCUAGACCGAGGACUGCGAUUUUAUCAAGGAUGCUGGCAUAAUGAUCCCAAACCGCCCGUCUUGAAACACGGACCAA
rnacentral:rRNA from 1 species